GGAUGACAGGCCCUCUUCGCCAGGUUCGGCAUAGCAAGGGGCUCUUCGGGAUGCAUUUUGUGUGUUUCGCUUCUCAUGCCAGAAAUAUGCUGAAACAAUUAGAUUAUUAGUAAUGGUCUCGCGAGUGCGAGCGAUGUUCCUGGAUGGAAUCCCCACCGCUCUCGAAUGGGAACCAAUGGACGUCUGGCUUCUACUUCCCCAAUCUCCGAUUAAUCGCGUUCCCUCUUCCUUCGCAUCCGAUCGUCUCUCUGACCGUCAUUCGGAGGGGUGGCUGACUCACCCUCGGCGACGACUGGGAAUUCACGCAUAGCCGGCUGGCGUCGCGUCGGCGAAUUUGACAUUGAACGUGGCUUUUUCUUGGCGACGAUCUUUUUACAUCGUUCUACCAUCUCUUCUUCUCGUUCCCCAGCUGGGGAAACUCGCCUCGUGGAGGCAAUCUAUUCUCAACAUGAUGACGAGGGGGGAAGA